GCUCCGGUGGCCUGGUGGUUAGAGCUUCUGCCUCCGAUGCGGGAGUUUGCGGGUUCGAUACCCGGCCGAAUGGCG